CCAGGAUGAAAGCACUUGCCAAGAUACCAAUUACAGCUAUAAUGAGAGGAGAAAAAUCAGUUCCAGAAUCAUCAUCUCCAAGGUUAAAGGGAGGAGGGGGAGGGAAAAUUAUAUAGCACCAUUGUGGACAAUAUAUGCUGCAAAUUUGCUGGGAACAAUCUUUAUAGGUAUCAUAGGUUGCCCAAGGAUUCUGGUUCCCAACAGAACCCAUGUUGUUGAAUCUUGGUAAUAAAAUUGUAUGUAAAUUUUGCAAUAGUUCACUUGCCUCAAUAUUUACACUAAAUUUUUG
rnacentral:misc_RNA from 1 species